rnacentral:rRNA from 1 species
AUUGAACGCUGGCGGCAUGCUUUACACAUGCAAGUCGAGCGGCAGCGCGGGGGCAACCCUGGCGGCGAGCGGCGAACGGGUGAGUAAUGCAUCGGAACGUGUCCCGUAGUGGGGGAUAACCCUGCGAAAGCCGGACUAAUACCGCAUAUUUCUCUACGUAGGAAAGGGGGGGACCCGCAAGGGCCUCUCGCUAUGGGAGCUGCCGAUGUACGAUUAGCUUGAUGGUGAGGUAAUGGCUUACCAAGGCGACGAUCGGUAGCUGGUCUGAGAGGAUGAUCAGCCACACUGGGACUGAGACACGGCCCAGACUCCUACGGGAGGCAGCAGUGGGGAAUUUUGGACAAUGGGGGCAACCCUGAUCCAGCCAUGCCGCGUGCGGGAAGAAGGCCUUCGGGUUGUAAACCGCUUUUGUCCGGAAAGAAAAGGCGCCUCCUAAUACGGGGCGUUCUUGACGGUACCGGAAGAAUAAGCACCGGCUAACUACGUGCCAGCCGCCGCCGUAACAC